CCCAUGACCAAUCCCUCAUGCACAAACACUAAUUUCAAAUCUUAAAUCUAAAUUUUCAAAUCUAAAUUCUUUGCAUGAAGUAUAAAUUUUGAUCUCAAAAUAAUUUCAGAUCAUGCAUAAAUAUAUAUUAUAUACAUAAACAAGUUCAGGUCAUAGAAAUAAAUUUCAGUCCUAAACAUACUUUCAUAUAUUAUAUAUAUGAAUCAAAAUAGAUCUGAAAACUCUUUUUAGAUCUAAAUAAUAAAAUAUAUAUCACAUAUAUACUAUAAAAAUUAGAUCUAAAAGUC
rnacentral:lncRNA from 1 species